AGUGAACGCUGGCGGCGUGCCUAAUACAUGCAAGUCGAACGCAGUGGCGCACGUGUGAGUAAUGUAUAGCUAAUCUGCCCUACACUAGAGGACAACAGUUGGAAACGACUGCUAAUACUCUAUAGUGUAGGAUGAGGCUAUAUUGUAUCAGCUAGUGGGUGAGGUAAUGGCUCACCAAGGCUAUGACGCAUAACUUGUCUUAGGGGAUGAUCAGUAAAACUGGAACUGAGGAACGGUCCAGGCUCCUACGGGAGGCAGCAGUAGGGAAUAUUGCUCAAUGGGGGAAACCCUUAAGCAGUAACGCCGCGUGGAGGAUGACACUUUUAGGAGCGUAAACUCCUUUUGUUAGGGAAGCGGUACCUAACGAAUAAGCAACGGCUAACUCCGUGCCAGCAGCAGCGGUAAUUC
rnacentral:rRNA from 1 species